CUCGUAGUUGAACCUUGGGCCUGGCUGGCCGGUCCGCCUCACCGCGUGUACUGGUCCGGCCGGGCCUUUCCUUCUGGGGAGCCGCAUGCCCUUCACUGGGCGUGUCGGGGAACCAGGACUUUUACUUUGAAAAAAUUAGAGUGUUCAAAGCAGGCCUUUGCUCGAAUACAUUAGCAUGGAAUAAUAGAAUAGGACGUGCGGUUCUAUUUUGUUGGUUUCUAGGACCGCCGUAAUGAUUAAUAGGGAUAGUCGGGGGCAUCAGUAUUCAAUUGUCAGAGGUGAAAUUCUUGGAUUUAUUGAAGACUAACUACUGCGAAAGCAUUUGCCAAGGAUGUUUUCAUUAAUCAGUGAACGAAAGUUAGGGGAUCGAAGACGAUCAGAUACCG
rnacentral:rRNA from 1 species